UAGAUAUGAGGUGCUUUGAAUGGU
rnacentral:siRNA from 1 species